GAGGAACGUGAAACGCGUUAUAGUGGAAACGGAUAGAGUCGACGUAUCCGUACGUAUUCAGCCAUUUUGCGGUGCGAUUUGUUCGUUCGAAGUUGUGCAAAGUCUUCAGCGGACAUUGUCGUCUUUCGGCUGAAGUGGUGCAUUUGCGUACAGAGUGCGCCGAAUGAAUCGAGUCCGCUGCUUGAGGACUGCAUAGAGGACUCGGUCUUUCGGACGGAUUUAAAACCUGGGCCGUUAAUCGGAUGACAGAUGGACUUGAUUGUCAAAGAAGAGCUGAUUGGAGCUGGUAAUUCGUGACAGUGGUUGUGCGGUGCGUGAGACUCGUUUGGACGAUGCAUGCGUCGGGCAGUUAUGGCUUUAAUUCACAGCUCUUAGUGUGCUCUGCUGCUCAUUCGGUGUUUAGUCGGUCACCCAUUUGACCCGUCUUGAAACACGGACCAAGGAGUUUAUGGUGUACGCAAGUCAUUGAUUGUUGUAAGUCAAAGGCGUAAUGAAGGUGAAAUUGUUAUGGAUUUAGAUGUGAUCGGUUGUGUGUUUUUUCUACGUUCUUCGUGCAACAUCGCCCCGUGAUUAGGACUUGUUCUGUUGUGGAGUUUGAGCGUAAGCUUUGAGACCCGAAACAUGGUGAACUAUGCCCGAACCGGACGAAGCCAGAGGAAACUCUGGUGGAAGUCCGAAGCGAGUCUGACGUGCAACUCGAUCGUCUGAUCUGGGUAUAGAGG
rnacentral:rRNA from 1 species